AGGCGAGGGCGAUGCCGCCGAGGCGGCCGAGCGAGCGGGUGUCCAGGCUGGCCGCCCCCGACACCAGGCUGCACACCACCAGCGGCAGGAUCACCAUGCGCAGCAUGCGCAGCAGCAGCUCCCCCGGGAAGGCCAGUGCCCCUGUUCCCAGCGCUGACGGGAGAGUGAGCUAAUGACGAUCGCCUGUGAGAUCCGGACAACGCGAAAGCGGGAGCCGUGCAAACUGGGGUUUCCUUCCCCAAGGGAUUGGACACGUGGCUUCAGCGCUCAUGGAUAGACCCGAAGAUCCCUAUCCCAUGACUGGAAUCCCUGGGAAUUAUCACAAUCUUAAGUCCAUUAGGACUUACUCUACCCACAAAGACUACUGAAAAUGGUCCUGAAGUGGCUACUCCCUGCUGUCUUCUAAAAUCCAGUGGAAAAAAGCAAAAUGUUACUCACCUUUGGCCUUGGGCUGUGGCAGAAGAAAUCCUAUUGGUUUUGCUAAUAUUACUCAUCUGCAUUGGUGUUCCCGUAUGCCAACUGAAAAGCAAGGGGAGAUAUUCAGGGAAGUGUGAACAAGAAGAACACAUGAAAUCAGAAAAGUCAUCCAUGGCAGCACAGCAUAUGAGACUAAUGCAAGAGUUAAAAUAGAGCCUCUUCCACCUUAGGAAUCAGUAGUAGCAUCCUCCCCUCCUAGAUUUUCCCAUGUUCUUGUGGGGUUGAGUUUGCCCAGAGCACUCCCAGGAGCACAGCCAGGGGGCCUGCAGGAGCACAGUCACCAAAAUCAGAGAUUCCACUCCAUGUUUUUUAACUCCUGCUAAGGCUGGUUGGUUGUAGCGAGCCAUCCCUUGGGGAGGAACAACACCUGGACGCACGGAUGCCUGUGUAUUUAUAUGCUUCCUGUUCAUGACAUUAUGAGUGUUCUGACUCUUAAUUUCUUCUUCCUUUUUUUCUGUUUUUAUUUCCAAUUUAAACACUGAUCCAAACAGCUAUACUUCUUCUCUUAAUAUCUCUUCAGAUGAUAGAAUGCAAAGACUUUUGCCACACAGAAAAUGAUUCAGCGUGUGAACAUCCCACUAUAUGAAUGCACUGUGGCCCUGGGGGCACUAAGAAGCCUUAAGGGUCCUGACCAGCCUCUACUGGGGCCUCCACCCACCCCUUCCCCUAGGCCCAAGAGCCCCAUCUCAGCUCAGCCCGGGGUCCUCAGUCCCUGCCUGAGCUACAGUGGAGGAGUGCCAGUCUCCAGCUCAGGCAUAGCUACAGCCAUGCCCCGUCUGGCCAUGGGCCCCAUUGAUCCAGACCCCGACCCGUGGGCUGACAUCCCAGCUUGACCUCAGACCUGCCUUUUCACCAUGGACCUGCUUGGCAAUCACUGGACCUGAUCCUGACCUGCAGAUUGACUUCCCCCCUUGACUUCAGACCUCUUCACCACGAACUUGCCUGGUGAUCUCAACUCCUGGUUCAACCUGGCCUCAGUUUCUGGCAGCGCCCGCCCUGCUCGCCCUGCUCGGGGGCAGUGGGACAGGCCCUGGCUGGCUCCCCCCCCAACUCCCCAUCCCCUAGGGAGCAGCCAGCCCUUGCUGCUUCCUGACAGAAUGAACAAGUGCAAGGCAAAGCUAACUGUUUUUCUGUGCCCUGUGAGAGCUCAUGGAUGGCUGCAGAGAUUAACACUGAAGCCUGCUGACUUAUUCAGUAGCAAGCAUUGACUGAUCUGUUGUGUCAUGUUUUCAUUUCGAUGCUUGUAGAUCUUGGUAGCUUUCCAGUGAAUGAGUUUGCAUGUUUCCAAUGUCCAUCCAGCUGGCUCUUCUAAAUUAGGGGGUUUGACUUUCCCUAGAGUGACUUGAAGAAUUUUUUUGUCUUAGAAAGAUUUCACCUGCACAGGGGUAGAGUCCAUCCUCCAGAAAACAGCAGAGGGAUCAUAAGCAGGCAAAAACAAACAAACAAACAAACAAAACUAGAAAUAGGUUCCUUUUAAACAAAAACAUAUUUCCUUCUGCUUUGGGUGAGGAGAGAGCAAGGCGCCCACUCAAAUGUAGUUUUCACCACUGGCCUAGGAAUGAAGAGGUCCUGAUGAUUUGCAGUCAAAUUCUGCUGCAUAUGAUUUUUUGAUUUUUUGAAAUUCCAGCUUCAGUGAAGGCAAUGAGAAAAAUCUUCACAGCCGUAGUGGAAUCCCCCUCUAUGUUUUAGCACCAAGCAAGCAGAGAGCAGGACUUCUUUUCAGCCAUUUCCCUCCUCCUAAAAUCCUAUUUUGUCUAGGGAACUUGAUAUCAAGAACUCUGAGGAAGGGUUUCCAAUUCCUCUUUCCUACUGCUCAUCCAUUCCCAUUGUUAAUAUUUACCAAAAUCUUGCUGAAAAUCAGUGGGACAGACACUUGGGGUGGGGUUUAUGUAAUAUAUCUUUCGUCACCUAAAAGUUCAACGUUUAGUCUCAGCUAAUCUUGCUUUCUCCAUAGUCAGUAAAGAUAGAUGGAAGGUCACCUGCUCCUAAAAGAAAUGUCUAAGACAAGAAUUGCCCAUGGGAGUACCUACCUCUCCACUGAGUAUGGAAAAGACCUAGACAACUGGCUUACAACUUUUAGACAGGUAAAUUUGGGUCACGUGAAUCUCCCCUCCCCACCGACAAUGCAGGUCUCAGCAAAAAAAGACUAUACAACAGUAUUAUAGGCAAUCAUUAUUUUCCUCCCUUGGUGACUUCUAUAUAUCUCAUACUCACCUUACAAGCUCAAGAUGAUUCUUUUUUUCCCUCAGAACAGAUUUAACCUGGCAUUUGAGCAGCAUCCUGCUUUUUUCUGUCACUGACCUCUAAAAUAUAAAUGUACUCUGAGGACAUCCACAUCUGGAGCUAGCUCUAAACUUCAUGGUUGCCUCUGUAUAAAACCAAAGGGACAGCAAGAGCUGUGACCUCUGGAGAAAGCCAGAUUUGAAUGCAAACUUCACAACUGCUCAUCUCAGCCAGAAAGGAAGGUCUUAAAGCCAGGAUCUGCUCUGUGAUUUUGUUUUUGCGGAAGGAAAAAAAUGGAAUCCAGGCUGCGUUUUCAGGGCUUUAUUAUAUCUAU